CUUGUGAAAAUUUGGGUAAAAUUAUAGCGUAUGAGCCUCUAUAAAGGGCUAAAAAACAAUGCAAAAUUGGUAAAAGAAAUCAUAUUCCUUGAAGUAUAGAUUUAAACAAUUGAUCAAAUGAAACGAGACAUAAUGCUUCAAGCCUUAUCUUGUUCUUAGGCCUCAUAAAUAAUAGAGGGGAAACAGGCACAUUGUCAGACAUCUUUUAGCCACGUAUGGCUAACCGCAAGAGAAAGAGAAAGAGAAAGUUGAUGACGAUGCCAAGGACGUUGUACACAGAAGUCCACAGGACGAAGGUGACAAGGGUAUAUGUUUAUCUUUUUCACAUUUCACAUAGUCCAAAUGAACACGUGGAAGAAAAGUAAGAGGUAUGGAGAGGGCCUCUCAUUCCAUUUCUUCUUGGUACAUCUAUACAUGUCCCUUCUGAAUCUUCUAGGCUCUAACCUAUGUGGAAAAAAAUUAUUUUGUAAAACAGUUUUUAAAAACAAUGAACUUGAAUUUGAAAAACAGUUUUUUUUCGCUAAUUCUCGGUGAAGGUAUUGUGAAUUUAUAAAUAAUAUAAAUUGGUUAAAUGUGUUUUUGAUUUGGAAAAGGUUGAUUUGAAGGAUAAUGACCUGACAAGCCCUAAAAGCCUUUAAAACAUUUUCUUGAUUAAGAGUGCAAUUAUUGUACUGAUUUACAUAGAGUAAAAUUUGGGUUAGGAAGUUUUUUAUUCGGAAAGCGUUGUUUGGAAGGAUAAUGAUCCGAGAAGUCCUUAAAGUCAUGCUUUCUCUUGAUUAAGAGUUCAAUUAUUGUACUGAUUUACGUAUAGUAAGAAUGGACGUGAUGUUUGGAAAUGUAGGGUUGGAGAAGAUGCCCGAGAAAUGGCUGAUUAUUUCCCCUGAUUCUGGAGGAAAAUUAAGAUGCUUCAUUCCAUUAGAUGUUAAAAAGGAUGCACACCCUUUGGCAACUUUGAACUGAAUGGUAACAAUAUGAGAGGAUAGGAUGAGUCCGAGCACCUGGGAAAGUAAACAAAACUGAACACAACUAAGGACCCCAUACAGUUUCAGAGAUAGAGAUAUGUCUGUUUUGAAAACACAAAGCUCAUGAAUCAAUGGCCUGUGCCAAGUGCCAACCCUUUUGUCUGCAGGCCAGAGUUUUCACAGAGACAUAUCACUUCAGUGCUAAAGAGGCAGUACAGCUGAAUUAUCAAUGGAGUCUUUAGGUUUUAGUUAAAUGAUAAAAUCAACAAUACGAAGGGAAAAAUGAUUCCUCUUAAGGCUCUCCGGUGACCAUGACUCAAAAUUCUCUAUUUUCAGCAACUGAUGUUCUCAGUGCCCAUCCCGCACCCACCACGAAAUGGCCUUUCUAUGGGGAAAAAAAAAAAGUGAAAAAAACCGCCAUGCAUUGAAUAAAAAAUAAUGCAGCGUGUGAGGGGUUUAGUUAUGGACUUAUGAUAAUGGACCAUAUAUAUAUAUAUAUAUAUAUAUAGAUCGUACGUUAGGAGGAAAGAGAUGUUGUUUGACUGCUAGCUUUCUUAUCUUUGGUGCUCUCAUCGACAGUGAUAAUUUAUACUUUUGUUGGGUAGGUAAGCUCCAAUGAAGUGGCGUAUGGCAGAGAGAAAUGGGAGCAGUGAGUUGAAGAUGAUGAAUAAUUUGUCCUUACAGCAGUGCGCGAUGGCGUGCGGCGACGCGGAUAAGUCCCUGUGGUGGCGUGUGGCGACUUGGAUAAGUUUUCUGAGCUGGCAAGCGGAGAGAUGGAUAAGUUUGCGACUUUUCAGCCAAAGGAAAUACUGCAGAAACAUGGAAGAUUCUGAUGGAUAUUGUCUCAUGUUCAAACGCUGCUUUAUCCUUGACCCGGCUUAAGUAAACUCAAGGGUGC
rnacentral:lncRNA from 1 species